rnacentral:rRNA from 1 species
GACGAACGCUGGCGGCGUGCUUAACACAUGCCAGUCGAACGAAGAGCGAUGGAAGCUUGCUUCUAUCAAUCUUAGUGGCGAACGGGUGAGUAACGCGUAAUCAACCUGCCCUUCAGAGGGGGACAACAGUUGGAAACGACUGCUAAUACCGCAUACGAUCUAAUCUCGGCAUCGAGGAUAGAUGAAAGGUGGCCUCUACAUGUAAGCUAUCACUGAAGGAGGGGAUUGCGUCUGAUUAGCUAGUUGGAGGGGUAACGGCCCACCAAGGCGAUGAUCAGUAGCCGGUCUGAGAGGAUGAACGGCCACAUUGGGACUGAGACACGGCCCAGACUCCUACGGGAGGCAGCAGUGGGGAAUCUUCCGCAAUGGACGAAAGUCUGACGGAGCAACGCCGCGUGAGUGAUGACGGCCUUCGGGUUGUAAAGCUCUGUUAAUCGGGACGAAAGGCCUCCUUGCGAAUAGUGAGAAGGAUUGACGGUACCGGAAUAGAAAGCCACGGCUAACUACGUG